rnacentral:rRNA from 1 species
UGGGGAAUCUUGCACAAUGGGGGCAACCCUGAUGCAGCGACGCCGCGUGAGCGAUGAAGCCCUUCGGGGUGUAAAGCUCUUUCGGCCCGAACGAUAAUGACGGUACGGGAAGAAGAAGCUGCGGCUAACUACGUGCCAGCAGCCGCGGUAAUACGUAGGCAGCGAGCGUUGUUCGGAGUUACUGGGCGUAAAGCGUGCGUAGGCGGUGCCAUAAGUCUGUUGUGAAAUCUCCCGGCUUAACUGGGAGGGUGCGGUGGAAACUGUGGUGCUGGAGUGUGGGAGAGGUAGGCGGAAUUCCUGGUGUAGCGGUGAAAUGCGUAGAUAUCAGGAGGAACACCUGUGGUGUAGACGGCUUACUGGACCAUGACUGACGCUGAAGCACGAAAGCGUGGGGAGCAAA